rnacentral:rRNA from 1 species
UACGUAGGGCGCAAGCGUUGUCCGGAAUUAUUGGGCGUAAAGAGCUCGUAGGCGGUUUGUCGCGUCUGCUGUGAAAUCCCGAGGCUCAACCUCGGGCUUGCAGUGGGUACGGGCAGACUAGAGUGCGGUAGGGGGAGACUGGAAUUCCUGGUGUAGCGGUGGAAUGCGCAGAUAUCAGGAGGAACACCGAUGGCGAAGGCAGGUCUCUGGGCCGCAACUGACGCUGGAGGAGCGAAAAGCAUGGGGAGCGAACAGG